rnacentral:pre_miRNA from 1 species
GACAUACUCCCUCCGUCCGAAAAAACUUGUCCCUCAAAUUGAUGUAUCUAGCACUAACUUGAUGCUAGAUACAUCCAUUUGAGGGACAACCUUUUUCGGACGGAGGGAGUACAGA